AUUGAACGCUGGCGGCAGGCCUAACACAUGCAAGUCGGGCGAGUGGCGGACGGGUGAGUAAUGUAUGGGGAACUGCCUGAUGGAGGGGGAUAACUACUGGAAACGGUAGCUAAUACCGCAUACCAUCAGAUGUACCCAUAUGGGAUUAGCUAGUAGGUGGGGUAAAGGCUCACCUAGGCGACGAUCUCUAGCUGGUCUGAGAGGAUGAUCAGCCACACUGGGACUGAGACACGGUCCAGACUCCUACGGGAGGCAGCAGUGGGGAAUAUUGCACAAUGGGCGCAAGCCUGAUGCAGCCAUGCCGCGUGUAGGAAGAAGGCCUUCGGGUUGUAAAGUACUUUCAGCGGGGAGGCGUUACCCGCAGAAGAAGCACCGGCUAACUCCGUGCCAGCAGCCGCGGUAAUAC
rnacentral:rRNA from 1 species